UGCACUUCGGCACGCGCUCAGCAACGACCGCGAAGCGCCGCGACCUCGGCUUUUCCCUCGUUUCCAGCAACUUACUUACUUUUUAUUUUCUUUGGUUUGUUUUGUUAAAAGUUAUCAGACCGUUAAGUUACACAAUUUUAAUUCAAGAACGACCAAGUUCUUUUAAGCUUUAUUCAUCAAGCUAACUUACACUGCUUCCACCGACACCCGGACCCAGCCAAGUGGGCCCGCCAGCAUUAACAAAAGACGACCAAACCUUUAACCCGAGCCAGAGUUGUAAAGGCCUCCCACUGAAGGUUUUGUUCAAUAAGCUGACCAAGACGGACCUCUGGAGCAAUUCCCUGGCAGAGAAAGCCACUGGCCGACGGCUUUAAGCUGUCCUAACCGAGAACGCACGGAACUCCACCAGCGUGAGGCCGCCGACCAGCAACCCGGCUGGUAGAAACGACAAGCAGAACAACAUGAGAUGCCAUCCGACCCUCCGUGGCCUCCCAGUGAACCUGCUAGCGGAUGACUGACGUCUUCAAAACCUGCAAUGUUCAGCGACCUGUUCGCCUGGGCGGAAGAAUACGAGGACUCCCAGACCAAGCCUCCCAAGUCCCGCCAUAAGGCUCUGGCCUCCUCGCCUCGCUCCCGGAAAGGAGUGGGUCUGCCCACAAACGAGGAGGAGAUCGCCCCACCUCAACCUGCUCCUCUGUGUGAGGACAACCUGAAUCUGCGUCUUGUUCUUUGGUUGGUCCGUUUCAAUACUAUGAUCUUAGGGCUUAAAGUAGGUCUCUAGCAACGUAUUUGAAGCCUACUGUCGCUGUUUAAUGAAUGAGCGCCACUAUUAAAAUUUCACACGAUCGUUAAUGAUUUUCAGUAAACUACAGUAACAAUCAACGCAUGGCUGUCUCCCUCUACUCAUUCUUUAAAGGAUGAGCGAAUGUGAGAGAGCGGCAGAAAGUGACGGUGAAAGUUAGCGGAGGAUAAGAUCAGCAUUAAGUUGUUAUGUUACAGCUCUGUCCUCUACUGUACAUCUUGAUCGUUAAAUUAAAAAAGGACGGUGUUGACCACGGAGGAGCUGAGGUUAGUAACGUUAAA